GAGGAACUGAAAAGGGGCGAGCUGGAGGCUGACAAAGACAAAAUGAUGAGAGAUUAUAGAGCUUAACUGGAUGCUGAAAGAGCUCAAAAGCUAGCAAACGGAAGAAAUCACUCAAGGUCAAACUCAAAAUCAUCAUCUUCCAAGAAAGAGAGGAAGGAUAAGGACGCAAAGAAAAGAAGUAAAAAGAGGAGAAAGCACAAAAGUUCAUCAGAGUCAAGUUCCAGCUCAUCUUCAGAAUCUUCAAGCAGCGACGAUGAGGAUAGGGGUUCAAGGAAGUCUAGAUCACAGUCGAGAUCAAAGAGAACAAGGAAGGAAAAGAAGAGCAGGUCAAGGUCCAAGUGCAGAGGCAGUGAAAGCGAGGGGGAAGGCCCGGUACCGGGUACGCCUCUCUAAAUUCUUCGGGAAGUAAGGAGUAGACGUUGUUGUACCCAAGAUGCCUUUUUCAUUUUGAAACGUAGAUUGGUGGGUUUGGAUGUAUCAUUCAACACAAAUUACUUCUGAAGGUUGAGCGAGCCGUUUACCAUGGUGUUCUCAAUAUGAUGCUCAGCUGUUAAGAGAGUCUAGUCAAGUUGUGUGGCUUCCAAAAACUUUGUAAGCAACUGGUAAGUCAUUGUUAAAUCGCUGUACCUUGGAGGAUUUGAUGCCAUAUAUUUGAGACAUUGAUCUGCUAUAUUUAUGUUAAGACUUUACAUACGCAGUCAGUUGUUUCAGUU